rnacentral:rRNA from 1 species
UACAGAGGUCCCAAGCGUUGUUCGGAUUCACUGGGCGUAAAGGGUGCGUAGGCGGUCGGGUAAGUCUGAUGUGAAAUCUCACAGCUUAACUGUGAAACUGCAUUGGCUACUAUCCGGCUAGAGGAAUGGAGGGGAGACUGGAAUACUUGGUGUAGCAGUGAAAUGCGUAGAUAUCAAGUGGAACACCAGUGGCGAAGGCGAGUCUCUGGACAUUUCCUGACGCUGAGGCACGAAAGCCAGGGGAGCAAACGGG